UAGAUUGUUUUUAUUAGUCAA
rnacentral:piRNA from 1 species